GACGAACGCUGGCGGCGUGGUUAACACAUGCAAGUCGAACGGAAAGGCCCUGCUUGCAGGGUACUCGAGUGGCGAACGGGUGAGUAACACGUGGGUGAUCUGCCCUGCACUUCGGGAUAAGCCUGGGAAACUGGGUCUAAUACCGGAUAGGAGCCAUUUUUAGUGUGAUGGUUGGAAAGUUUUUUCGGUGUAGGAUGAGCUCGCGGCCUAUCAGCUUGUUGGUGGGGUAAUGGCCUACCAAGGCGGCGACGGGUAGCCGGCCUGAGAGGGUGGACGGCCACAUUGGGACUGAGAUACGGCCCAGACUCCUACGGGAGGCAGCAGUGGGGAAUAUUGCACAAUGGGCGCAAGCCUGAUGCAGCGACGCCGCGUGGGGGAUGACGGCCUUCGGGUUGUAAACUCCUUUCGCUAGGGACGAAGCUUUUUGUGACGGUACCUAGAUAAGAAGCACCGGCUAACUACGUG
rnacentral:rRNA from 1 species